UACGGAGGAUGCAAGCGUUAUCCGGAAUGAUUGGGCGUAAAGGGUCCGCAGGUGGCAGUGUAAGUCUGCUGUCAAAGAAUGAGGCUUAACCUCAUCAAGGCAGUGGAAACUACACAGCUAGAGUACGGUCGGGGUAGAAGGAAUUCCUGGUGUAGCGGUGAAAUGCGUAGAGAUCAGGAAGAACACCGGUGGCGAAAGCGCUCUGCUAGGCCGCAACUGACACUGAGGGACGAAAGCUAGGGGAGCGAAUGGG
rnacentral:rRNA from 1 species